CGCACUGACAGCAGCAUCUCCGCUCUGUCGCCCUGCGCCUGUCAGCAGUCACCGGGAACCGGCCGGGACGCCGCCAGCUCCACUUCGCUACAACUCCCAAAGUCCGAUGCUGGCCAGAGUUUUGUGACCUACUUCCAGGAAACAAAAAAAAAGAAAAAAAAAAGUUGCAGGUUUUUCCGAGCGUUGCUGCGAAGUUACUGAACAUCGGCGGAGGAGAAUUUGUCUUCAGCGCGUUUUUCGGAGUUGAGGAGCGCAAAGAAGAGUCCAAAACGCACGGAUGAAAGACAUCAGAGGGGAGCGUUCGGGUGAAAUUGUGGCGUCAAUAUGACCUCCGACGGCGGACCACUGCCCCACCUCUGACGUCCGGCGUGGCCUGGGUGACUUUGCUCAACACGUCAUGGAGCACGACAUGAGAAUGGGGCUGUCUCUGUGGGCUAUCGUGGCCAUUGUCUGCAACUCUGUGGUCGGCGUGCUCAUCCUCAUCCUGUUUGUCAUCCUCUACAAGGCGUGCAAGGUGCCUUCACACCAAGGGAAAAUGCCGGUUUUCAUCACGGAGCUGGAGCAGACCAAGGCCGAGCAGAAGUACAUGCUGAGCGCAGCCUGAUUGAAACCUGAGGAGAAAAACUGAAAACUCCCCUUUGUUCACCGAACAACGUUCGACAGUUGAGACAGAGUGUUCUUCCAAGCCAGCUGGAAUUCACCCAUUCAUUCAGUCUUUAUUUACACCCUCUGACGAGGGCUGCGUUGCACGGUGUUUACAUCACUCCACCAUCAGCCCAUCUCAUUUGUGCCAUUCACUGGAGCUCAGAGUAAGCUAACUGCAUUAGGAGUUGUGGCAAGACCAACAGCAACAAGCAGGCCCAAUCCUCUUAUCUCUGCCGUGCGUCGCUGGGACUGUCCAUCUGUCAGUCAGCUUGGUUUGCUCUGCGCAGGCCGACAUGAUCUCCUCCGCUGCUGCGCUCCUGUUCAUCCCUCCAUGUGUGAGGAGGGAGCGGGUGUGGAGGAGGAACAGCAAGAGCAACUGGAGUAGAAGUCACAGAGAUGACAAAGUUGGUUGAGAGUCAAAUUUUUUUUUUUAAGAAUCAACAAAUCAAACAAACAAAAAAUCCUCUGUAACUCACGAGCUGUUGGUUUUUUUCCUACUGCAGCACUAAUGAUGGCAGCGCCAGAGCGGCAGAGACACGACAGGUGGAAACCAAAAGCCUGAAUGAGUCAGUAAGAAGUAGAGAUGUUGCUGGAGAAAGCGCGCGAGUCGAGACAGACCGAGAUAAAGUUUAGUUUAUAUUUUUUGGGGGAGAGGAUAAAGUACAGGGAGAGAAUUGGAAAGGUGAUGCUUUGAUGUGUUGUUGACAGAAAAUGGAGCUCCGGGGCACUGUCUGACAGUUUCCCCAUUUGACACAGCGAUGAUCCAAACUCCCACAGGAUUAAAAGUAGCAGGAAAAAGAAAUGUUACUUCGUGUCCCAGUGUGCAGCUCAUUCAUUUCUGUGAGCUCCUCUGAACAAGAUAUUUAUAGACAGCCGCCAUCAGAAUCGACUGGCAGACAGAAGACUCCCAGGCUCACAGCCCUGGGUGAACAUUGUGUUUUUUAUUGUGGUGAAUUUACGGUGACUGCAGACCGAGUGCGUUCACAGGGAAGACAGCUGACAGACCUCAGACUGACACACUAAACACUGAGCCAAUCAUAACAACAUCUCCUCGUCAGAGUG